GGGCCCGCACAAGCGGUGGAGCAUGUGGUUUAAUUCGAUGAUACGCGAGGAACCUUACCAGGGCUUAAAUGUAAGUUGCAUUAGUUAGAGAUAGCUAUUUCUUCGGACCACUUACAAGGUGCUGCAUGGUUGUCGUCAGCUCGUGCCGUGAGGUGUCAGGUUAAGUCCUAUAACGAGCGCAACCCCUGUUGUUAGUUGCCAGCGAGUCAUGUCGGGAACUCUAACAAGACUGCCGGUGCAAACCGUGAGGAAGGUGGGGAUGACGUCAAACCAUCACGGCCCUUACGUCCUGGGCUACACACGUGCUACAAUGGUCGGUACAGAGAGCAGCCACUACGCGAGUAGGAGCGAAUCUUCAAAGCCGAUCACAGUUCGGAUCGGGGUCUGCAACUCGGCCCCGUGAAGCUGGAAUCGCUAGUAAUCGGAUAUC
rnacentral:rRNA from 1 species